rnacentral:lncRNA from 1 species
UCUUAAAAUUACACAACCCUUUGAUUUUUGGACGUAAUGCGUUCGGUCGUUUUCGGUACAAUGAGACACUUUCUGGGCAAUAUGUCUGUCUAGAGGAGUCGGUUAUCUCCUUUGGAUCAACAGCACCAUCACAUGAACAUGUUCUGUAUAGCCUCUCUAACUGUUUCCUUCUCUGGUUCUGUCCAAUCCCUUAUCCAGUGUGAUGAAUGUCAUGUCACAGUUUUGUUUUGUUUUGAGAUGAAUAGCAAAUUCAAGCAAAUGAGGAACAGUAUAAGGUUUAAAUAGGGACAAACAUGGAAUGACAGACACACAGUAGGAGAGACAGAGAGAGAGAAAGGGGACAGAGUUAGAUAGAGAGAGAGAGAUAAAGAGACAGAGAGAGAAGAAGAGAGUUUUCUUCAAACAACAGUGAUGGAAACGUUGUGGUAUCUCACCCUGCUAAUCUCAGAAAAUGCCCAUAAAAUAUGAUGGUGCAGAGUUUUGAUGGCUGUGCCUAGCAGAUCACUCAUCAGGGACUGGUGACUUCUGGGGAUGGAGGAACGAAGGGGGUUGAAAGUGUUUCUUUGUCUUAAGCACCACUCCACCCCAGAAAGACCAUAAAGCACGUGCCCUGAAAUCAAUAGCGAACCCUGCCUCUCUCGAUAAGCCGGUAUAAAUCGUUUGGGGCCCAGAAUUAAUAUAUUUACAGUAUGUGCACACACACACACACACACACACACACACACACACACACACACACACACACACACACACACACACACACACACACACACACACACACAGACACACACACACAGACACACAGACACACACAAACAACAUCCGGGAGUGACCAUCAGUGUUAGUAGCAGCACCUCAGCAGUCUGCCUGUGUUAUUAAAAUAUGAUUUAUUAAAUGAGUGCUGUUUACUGGGGGCUGCAUGGC